AAACUUAUCUGGCAGGGGAGACACCAUAAUCAAGGAGGUGAUUUUCCCAGUGGGAGGCUCAACCAUGAACCUUGGGAUGUGCUGACCCCUGCUAUUUCCCAAACAGGGAAAAUUCAGCUACAGAAUUUGUGAUAAUAGGGGACUGUAUUUAUACUCUCCUA
ensembl:snRNA U1 U1 spliceosomal RNA